CUCCUCCCGGCCCUCCCACAUGCUGAGCCUCCUGCCGGAGACGCUCUCCCUUUCCUCUCACUUCUUCCAGAAGGCCUCCUCUGACCCUGCAGAUCACGGCGCUGUUUCCUUUCUGUCCACUGGGUGCCCUGUGAUUGUCUACCUCACUUCCUGCCUCUGCCCCUGAUUUGAUGGCGAAACAGGUUCUCGUCGUGUGACACCACCACCACACCAUCCCGGGUCAGCCGGCAGUCAAGCUCCAGAAAGUCGGAUCGCUGGGCCACGGAGCUAUGGGAGUGAAGGCUCAUUCUUCCUUGGAAUGCUUUUGUUGGCCAGGACCUUUUUUGGCUGUCUGGGAAACACCCACAUUUAGGAUAUUCUUUACCAGGUGAGGGAAUAUCCCUCUGCCCAGGCAGUAGGACAUGGUGAAGCUGCAGUUCUCCGGGUCUGUCUGACUCCAUCAUGCUCCACA